GACGAACGCUGGCGGCGUGCUUAACACAUGCAAGUCGAACGGUAAGGCCCUUCGGGGUACACGAGUGGCGAACGGGUGAGUAACACGUGGGUGAUCUGCCCUGCACUUCGGGAUAAGCCUGGGAAACUGGGUCUAAUACCGGAUAGGACCACUGCCUGCAUGGGUGGUGGUGGAAGGCUUUUGCGGUGUGGGAUGGGCCCGCGGCCUACCAGCUUGUUGGUGGGGUGAUGGCCUACCAAGGCGACGACGGGUAGCCGGCCUGAGAGGGUGACCGGCCACACUGGGACUGAGAUACGGCCCAGACUCCUACGGGAGGCAGCAGUGGGGAAUAUUGCACAAUGGGCGCAAGCCUGAUGCAGCGACGCCGCGUGAGGGAUGACGGCCUUCGGGUUGUAAACCUCUUUCAGCACCGACGAAGCGCAAGUGACGGUAGGUGCAGAAGAAGGACCGGCCAACUACGUGCCAGCAGCCGCGGUAA
rnacentral:rRNA from 1 species